AACGAACGCUGGCGGCAUGCCUAACACAUGCAAGUCGAACGAGACCUUCGGGUCUAGUGGCGCACGGGUGCAUAACGCGUGGGAAUCUGCCCUCUGGUACGGAAUAACUCAGGGAAACUUGAGCUAAUACCGUAUAAUGACUUCGGUCCAAAGAUUUAUCGCCUGAGGAUGAGCCCGCGUCGGAUUAGCUAGUUGGUGAGGUAAAGGCUCACCAAGGCGACGAUCCGUAGCUGGUCUGAGAGGAUGAUCAGCCACACUGGGACUGAGACACGGCCCAGACUCCUACGGGAGGCAGCAGUGGGGAAUAUUGGACAAUGGGCGAAAGCUUGAUCCAGCAAUGCCGCGUGAGUGAUGAAGGCCUUAGGGUUGUAAAGCUCUUUUACCCGGGAUGAUAAUGACAGUACCGGGAGAAUAAGCCCCGGCUAACUCCGUGCCAGCAGCCGCCGUAAUAC
rnacentral:rRNA from 1 species